AGGAAUUGCUUCUGUGGCCUGCUACCAUCAACCUUCUACCUAUGAAAAUAGAUGAAGGGAGAGAGGAGACGAGCAUGGUUAGGAAGUCUGGGACUGAAGCUAUCCCACUCAUUGUUAUAUGGAAACACUCCUUGUUAUGUGGAAACACUCCUUCAGAAUGCCGGGGGAAUGUGAUACAGCAUCAGUAUUGACAGAUGUCUGUGUCCUGCCAACAGGGGAGAUCCACAUGGGAUAUAAACACCACUGGUACCUUGCUAUUCAAAGUUGUUGGCAUGUUGCCCUGCAAAUUUAUUUCUUUUUUGAGAGAUCAUGUUUAUUAUUAGUGUGUCAAGGUAGUAUAUCAAGACCAGAUUACAAGUGAAAACAGCCAACAUCCUGCACAGGAGAUUCAGGAGGAAAGUGGUGAUUCUUUCUUGAGUCUGAGCACAUGGAGUCUUAGAUUUAAAUUUAAGAUGCACUUGGGGAAGAAUGUGAUGAAUAUAUCGAAAGUUAAUGGGAAUAAAAAAAUAAAAGGUGUAUGACCCACAGUAUUACAAAUGGAUUUUUAAAACAUUUUUUCAGCAAUUUGUAUCAUAGAUUUUUUAAUCCCUUUAACAUCUUGAAAACAGAACUUUCACAGAGAUUGAGUGACUUUCAAGUCAAGCAAAUUAGUAGAUGAAAGGUGAUCAUACAAGAAUAUUUUUUCUGAUGGGAAAGGCUGAGAUGAAUAAAGACCCUUAAGAUCAAAAUGCUAAAACGAUUAAGCCAAUUGAGUAGCAAUCAGCAUACUUUUCUGUAUACAGAAGAGUAUUUUCAGCAGUGUUCAAUGAGAUUAAAAAAAAAUGCUAUCUGAAUGAUGAAGUGACUAUGCAACUAUUAGAAUAUGGGAAGGAAAGCUGAUGGCACUUCUGUCCCCCGUGAUUUGCAGCACUUCCUUCUGUACGGUUGGUGGUCUUGUUACAGGCAGAAGGGCCCACUCAGCACCUCCAGUGUUAGAUAUUUCCUACUUAAAAAGUAACAUCUGGGAAAGAUCAGCGAUGAAUGUGUCAAGAGCUCCUAGUGUCGCAGGAUGACGCUCACGUGAGUACAAGUGCGAACAUGUUUUUUUCCUGGGAGUAAACAGCCUUUUCCUUUUCUCCCUAGACUUUAAUAGAGUAUAUUCUCAUGAACAUCUAGAUGAGUUCUGUCCUUGCUUCACAAACCCUGCUUCUAGGCUGUCUCUUUGGUAGAUGCUCACAGAAUCUUCAUCCUGCCAGGCACGUGCGGCUGUUUUUGAUUGUCAGCUAUGAAAGGUACCUCCUGACCCUUGCCUAUGAGGGUAGCUUUGGCAGAAUUGUAAAGAAGGAAGAGAAGGUGAUUCUGUGAUGUAGCAACAUUUUAAUUGAUACAGUUCCUUUCCUGCUCAUGUAGGUCUUAAAACUCUGCUGGGAUUAUUAUACUAUAUUUCACUGCUAGAGAGCAGUCAACAUCCAGGCUUCUGUUUAAAAUAUUGGACUUGGCCUCGGAUUCCUUUAAACGUAUGGUUGAAAAUAAAAUUGUACACAACAAGAAGGCUGCGAAAGUAAAGUUGAAAACAAGGAUUUACAUGUUAUGACUGAAGGAAAAAUUUGACACCCAGGCAGACCCCAAUUUCCACUCAUUAUCAGAGAGCUGAAUUCUAAAUCAACGAUUGUGGAGAAGAGAUGUGCAAGUUGAAUAAAACAUUUCCAGAAGAGCCUGAAUAAUGGUCCUGAAUAAAGGGAACUGAAAUGUUCUUGAAUUGUAAUUGGAAAAAAAUCAAGUGUGUGUACUCAGGAGCAUAUCUACUAAGAAGAGUGCCCUUGUAGGUCCAAUUAAGGUGCUUAAUUGAAAAAUUCCAAGUAAGCAGACUGUCCUGGCCCCCAGAGUGGAUGAUACCAGUGAUGAUACUUCUGAACUACAAAGAAAGAAUGCUCACAGAUGUUAACAGAGCCUUACGGUGCCACAGGCAGGCACAGACACAGGACUAUAUCCACAGGAAGGGAGGAGGAGAUGUGUAUGUAUGGAAGAAAACUGGAAUGUUCUUAUGAACCUCCUGCAGAAUCUGCCAAAUGCACAUGAGUGGUUUCACCUCUUCAGAUCAUCUCCUGCAGCUAAGCGCUGAGAGAAAGAUCAGCUACCUAAUUUUCCAGGCUUGGUGCAAGAUGAAAAUGUAGGACCGCUUUCUUCAAAUAGCGGCAAACAAAUGCUAGCCAAGGUCAGUCAAUCAAGAGACAAGGUGCUGGGGCAGGGAAAAGCAACUUUAUUCAAAAAGCCAGCAAGUCCAGAAGAUGAUGAACUUGUGUCUCAAAGAAUCAUCUUGCUCCAUUCUGGACACCAGUUUCUUUUAUAAAGAGAGGGAGGUAAGAAGCUAAAGUAAAAAAGGAGAUAAAUUGUCACAAAUAUUUCCUGAGUCCAGCCAGACUCUGAAGGGGAUGUUUCCUGUGAGCUUAAAGGAAGAUAUUGUAGCUUAAAGCUCAGCAUGGGAGGCAGGGUUCCCAGAGACGGGCCAUUAUAUAUGUUAUAAGCUGAGGCAAAUCCCUUUAAUGAUUUAUUAACUUAGCAAAAACAAUAGAAUUCAAAGGUUACUAUAAAAGAAACAGAUCCAGUAUGAAGUCAGAUUUGUUCUUCUCUGUUACUAAAGUACAUAAUUUGAAAAGUAUGUAAUAAUUUAAAAUUUUUAAUAAAAAUUAUUAAUAAUUUAAAAAGUAUGUACUAUAGUACAGUAUUUUUAUAUUUAUCUAGAACUUUUAAGUUAAAUAGGAAAACAGACAUGGGAUGAAGAAAAAUUUACACAUUUGAUUUAUUAAAUAAUGCAACAUAUAAUUUGGUGAAUUUAAAAGGCAUUUAUUUUUUGCUAUGAUAGCCACUGAAUUUCACUUUGGUGGGGGCUUAGUUACUCUUAUAAAAUAAUGAUUAAAGGAGGCUGUUUCUCCUCUUCAAAUCAUUCUUACUAUGUGUAUUCAAUUUGCAAGACAAGCAAUUACUGCUGUUUGAAUCUGGCAAGUAGCCACUAUUUUUAAUUGAAACAGUAUUUUGCAAAAUAAAGAGCAUGAAGUUAUAUAAGGAAGUGGUGCUGAUGUGUUAACAGGAGUGAGCUAUAAGGAAGGACAGUUACAUAUUUUAGCAUGUAAAAAUAUUUUCCAAAUUAGCAGUUAGUGAAAUUUCUGUGACUGUCACACCAUGUUCAUCUAUUUCUUGGGUAAACAGGGCACUUAUAAAGAUGUUUUUUUUUAAAAAAAAAACCAGUGCAUCAUAAGGUACUAUCACAGGCACUUGGUUUAAGUAGAACACAGAGCUCUUGCUUAACCAAGUUAAGCGGGCCUUCGGAAUUAGAUUGACCUGAAU